GUAGUCCACGCCCUAAACGAUGUCUACUAGUUGUCGGGUUUUAAUUAACUUGGUAACGCAGCUAACGCGUGAAGUAGACCGCCUGGGGAGUACGGUCGCAAGAUUAAAACUCAAAGGAAUUGACGGGGACCCGCACAAGCGGUGGAUGAUGUGGAUUAAUUCGAUGCAACGCGAAAAACCUUACCUACCCUUGACAUGUACGGAAGCCACGAGAGAUCGAGGCGUGCUCGAAAGAGAGCCGUAACACAGGUGCUGCAUGGCUGUCGUCAGCUCGUGUCGUGAGAUGUUGGGUUAAGUCCCGCAACGAGCGCAACCCUUGUCAUUAGUUGCUACGAAAGGGCACUCUAAUGAGACUGCCGGUGACAAACCGGAGGAAGGUGGGGAUGACGUCAAGUCCUCAUGGCCCUUAUGGGUAGGGCUUCACACGUCAUACAAUGGUACAUACAGAGGGCCGCCAACCCGCGAGGGGGAGCUAAUCCCAGAAAGUGUAUCGUAGUCCGGAUUGUAGUCUGCAACUCGACUACAUGAAGUUGGAAUCGCUAGUAAUCGCGGAUCAGCAUGUCGCGGUGAAUA
rnacentral:rRNA from 1 species